CCUACGGGGGGCAGCAGUGGGGAAUAUUGGACAAUGGGGGAAACCCUGAUCCAGCAAUGCCGCGUGAGUGAAGAAGGUCUUCGGAUUGUAAAGCUCUUUUGGCAGGGAAGAUGAUGACUGUACCUGCAGAAUAAGCCCCGGCUAACUUCGUGCCAGCAGCCGCGGUAAUACGAAGGGGGCUAGCGUUGUUCGGAAUUAUUGGGCGUAAAGAGCGUGUAGGCGGCUUUUCAAGUCAGAAGUGAAAACCUGGGGCUUAACCCCAGAACGGCUUUUGAUACUGUAAAGCUAGAGUUUGGAAGAGGAUAGUGGAAUUCCUAGUGUAGAGGUGAAAUUCGUAGAUAUUAGGAGGAACACCGGUGGCAAAAGCGACUGUCUGGUACAUAACUGACGCUAAAGUGCGAAAGCGUGGGGAGCAAACAGGAUUAGAUACCCUUGUAGUC
rnacentral:rRNA from 1 species